rnacentral:rRNA from 1 species
GAUGAACGCUGGCUACAGGCUUAACACAUGCAAGUCGAGGGGAAACGACGGGGAAGCUUGCUUCCCCGGGCGUCGACCGGCGCACGGGUGAGUAACGCGUAUCCAACCUGCCUCUGACUGAGGGAUAACCCGUCGAAAGUCGGCCUAAUACCUCAUGGCAUCGUCUGCGGGCACCCAACGACGAUUAAAGAUUUCAUCGGUCAGAGAUGGGGAUGCGUCUGAUUAGCUUGUUGGCGGGGUAACGGCCCACCAAGGCGACGAUCAGUAGGGGUUCUGAGAGGAAGGUCCCCCACAUUGGAACUGAGACACGGGCCAAACUCCUACGGGAGGCAGCAGUGAGGAAGAUUGGGCAAUGGGCGAGAGCCUGAACCAGCCAAGUAGCGUGCAGGAGGACGGCCCUAUGGGUUGUAAACUGCUUUUAGGCGGGGAUAAAGUGAGGGACGUGUCCUUCAUUGCAGGUACCGCAUGAAUAAGGACCGGCUAAUUCCGUG